GACGAACGCUGGCGGCGUGCCUAAUACAUGCAAGUUGAGCGCUGAAGGUUGGUACUUGUACCAACUGGAUGAGCAGCGAACGGGUGAGUAACGCGUGGGGAAUCUGCCUUUGAGCGGGGGACAACAUUUGGAAACGAAUGCUAAUACCGCAUAAAAACUUUAAACACAAGUUUUAAGUUUGAAAGAUGCAAUUGCAUCACUCAAAGAUGAUCCCGCGUUGUAUUAGCUAGUUGGUGAGGUAAAGGCUCACCAAGGCGAUGAUACAUAGCCGACCUGAGAGGGUGAUCGGCCACAUUGGGACUGAGACACGGCCCAAACUCCUACGGGAGGCAGCAGUAGGGAAUCUUCGGCGAUGGACGAAAGUCUGACCGAGCAACGCCGCGUGAGUGAAGAAGGUUUUCGGAUCGUAAAACUCCGUUGGUAGAGAAGAACGUUGGUGAGAGUGGAAAGCUCAUCAAGUGACGGUAACUACCCAGAAAGGGACGGCUAACUACGUG
rnacentral:rRNA from 1 species